AUUGGGAACGGCGAGGGAAAGAUUUCACGUUUUCGUGUUUUGUUGGCCAGGUUCGCCUGCAUAUUGAAAAUUAUGUCUCUGAAGUAGAGAAUAAUAAUUUUAUUUAUCUCAACAAUAAUGCUUCCUUAUUUUGUUCAUUUUGAAAUAGAUAUUUUUAUCUGAUUUCGGGGAUGGUGGGAACGAGAGAUUACACAUAUGCAAUCUACUCUGGUAAGAUUUCAAACCAUUCUUUUAAAUUUUGCAUCGGUUCGAUUCCGCCAUUUUGACAACGUGUUUUCUUUGUUUCAGGGUUUUUUCAUUCUUUCAUUUUUAUAUUUCCUUAGUAUUUUAUUGUUUUAUUUUAUUAUAUUACGUAACUAAUUAAUAGAAAUAUGACUUUAGAAGAAAAUACACUUGCGUUACCAUGAUGUAGGAAAAAUUUAAAUAUGAAAAAUUUAUAAUU
rnacentral:misc_RNA from 1 species